rnacentral:tRNA from 1 species
GCCGAUGUAGCUCAGUGGUAGAGCAGCUGUUUCGUAAACAGCAGGUCACAGGUUCGAAUCCCGUCAUCGGCU